AGAUGGCGACCGGCGCACGGGUGAGUAGCACGUAUCCAACCUGCCGAUAACUCGGGGAUAGCCUUUCGAAAGAAAGAUUAAUACCCGAUGGCAUAAUAGAACCGCAUGGUUUGAUUAUUAAAGAAUUUCGGUUAUCGAUGGGGAUGCGUUCCAUUAGGCAGUUGGUGGGGUAACGGCCCACCAAACCUUCGAUGGAUAGGGGUUCUGAGAGGAAGGUCCCCCACAUUGGAACUGAGACACGGUCCAA
rnacentral:rRNA from 1 species